CCUACGGGUGGCUGCAGUGGGGAAUAUUGCACAAUGGGGGAAACCCUGAUGCAGCGACGCCGCGUGAGUGAAGAAGUAUUUCGGUAUGUAAAGCUCUAUCAGCAGGGAAGAAAUAGCGACCUUUGGGUCGCCAGACGGUACCUGAUUAAGAAGCCCCGGCUAACUACGUGCCAGCAGCCGCGGUAAUACGUAGGGGGCAAGCGUUAUCCGGAUUUACUGGGUGUAAAGGGAGCGUAGACGGCAGCGCAGGUCUGAAGUGAAAUGCCGGGGCUUAACCCCGGCGAGCCGUUGAAACUGGCUGUCUUGAGAUGUCGAGAGGUAUGCGGAAUGCGCAGUGUAGCGGUGAAAUGCUUAGAUAUUGCGCAGAACUCCGAUUGCGAAGGCAGCAUACCGGCGGCGAUCUGACGCUGAGGCACGAAAGCGUGGGUAUCGAACAGGAUUAGAUACCCCGGUAGUC
rnacentral:rRNA from 1 species